UACGUAGGGCGCAAGCGUUGUCCGGAAUUAUUGGGCGUAAAGAGCUCGUAGGUGGUCUGUUGCGUCCGCUGUGAAAACCCAGGGCUUAACCCUGGGCUGGCAGUGGAUACGGGCAGACUAGAGGUAGGUAGGGGAGAAUGGAAUUCCCGGUGUAGCGGUGAAAUGCGCAGAUAUCGGGAGGAACACCGGUGGCGAAGGCGGUUCUCUGGGCCUUACCUGACGCUGAGGAGCGAAAGCGUGGGGAGCGAACAGG
rnacentral:rRNA from 1 species